rnacentral:lncRNA from 1 species
GACAAACUGACCAAAAGUGUCACAGAACUGGUUUUUUCUGUGACAAAAAAACUUUCAUCACGGAACCAUUUUUCGUUCUAUGAUGCGUCGCAAAAACGUCACUAAACUUCGAGAUCCACGUGUCCCCGUGUAACAUCCGUAAAAUUUACUAACUCAAAUCACCCGCUAAAAAAUUGUUUCAAAAUUUUUCGACCGUUGAGCUCCCGAAAAUCUUUUCCUUCCCGGCGGCCCCGCCAUCCCGGCACCCAACACCGACAGCCAUCUUUUCCUCCCUCCGCAAAUUUUGCCGCAUGCGCGUCAAAAUCUGUCACGCGUGC